AACGAACGCUGGCGGCAGGCCUAACACAUGCAAGUCGAGCGAAGCCUUCGGGGUUAGCGGCGGACGGGUGAGUAACGCGUGGGAACGUGCCCUUUGGUAUGGAAUAGCCCCGGGAAACUGGGAGUAAUACCGUAUGUGGUCGAGAGACGAAAGAUUUAUCGCCAAAGGAUCGGCCCGCGUUGGAUUAGGUAGUUGGUGGGGUAAUGGCCUACCAAGCCGACGAUCCAUAGCUGGUUUGAGAGGAUGAUCAGCCACACUGGGACUGAGACACGGCCCCGGCUCCUACGGGAGGCAGCAGUGGGGAAUCUUACGCAAUGGCGGAAACCCUGAUCUCGCCAUGCCGCGUAAUCGAUGAAGGCCUUAGGGUUGUAAAGAUCUUUCAGUGGGGAAGAUAAUGACUGUACCCACAGAAGAAGCCCCGGCUAACUCCGUGCCAGCCGCCGCGGUAACAC
rnacentral:rRNA from 1 species